rnacentral:rRNA from 1 species
CCCUUAGAUGUUCUGGGCCGCACGCGCGCUACACUGAUGCAUUCAACGAGUUUCUUCCUGGUCCGAGAGGAAUGGGUAACCUUUUGAAAGUGCAUCGUGAUAGGGAUAGACUAUUGCAAUUAUUGGUCUUCAACGAGGAAUUCCUAGUAGACGUAGUUCAUCAGACUGCAUCGAUUACGUCCCUGCCCUUUGUACACACCGCCCGUCGCUCCUACGGAUUGAAUGCUCAGGUGAGCCAUUCGGACUUUCAUCAUGCUGGUUUCCAGUUUUGAUGAAGGAAAGUCUUGCGAACCUUAUCAUUUAGAGGAAGGAGAAGUCGUAACA